UACGUAGGGUGCAAGCGUUAAUCGGAAUUACUGGGCGUAAAGCGUGCGCAGGCGGUUUUGUAAGUCUGUCGUGAAAGCCCCCGGGCUCAACCUGGGGAAUUGCGAUGGAGACUGCAAGGCUUGAAUCUGGCAGAGGGGGGGUAGAAUUCCACGUGUAGCAGUGAAAUGCGUAGAGAUGUGGAGGAACACCGAUGGCGAAGGCAGCCCCCUGGGUCAAGAUUGACGCUCAUGCACGAAAGCGUGGGGAGCAAACAGG
rnacentral:rRNA from 1 species